rnacentral:lncRNA from 1 species
GCUGGUUUCCACAUGUUGGCUCCUUCAUCAAAUGAUUUGUUUAAAUAUGUAUUUUAUUCUCUCUCUCUCUCUCUCUCUCUCUCUCUCUCUCUCUGUGUGUGUGUGUGAGUGUGUUUGUGUGUGUGUGUGUUCAUGCAUAUAUGUGCACACACGUGGGUGCAUGUACACGUUGAUGUCAAGUGUCUUCUUCCAUUGUUCUCUACCUUUUAUUUCUGAGACAGGGUCUCUCAAUGAAUCUGGACCUUGCUAGCCAGCACCCUCGGGGGAUCAUCUUGUCUCUGCCCCCCCAAACCCCCAGCCCAGUGCCAGGGUACCAGGUGUUCAUGGACACAUUGAGUUUCUUACAUGGGUGCUACAGAUCUGAACUCAGGUCCUUAUGUCUGGGCAGAAAGCAGUCUACUAUGAUGGUUAACAUUACAUUUAAAGUUUAGACAUACUAUGCUUGAGAGACCAAAAAGAAAAAAGAAAAAAAAAUACCUCUAACACACAAGCCCCUGACUAUAUACCCUAGGAGCCAGCCCACUUCCUGUGUUUUCCCCAGACAUUGAGAACUAUUCUUAAAUGAACUGAUCUUAUAAAAUUUGCUGGUCUUGCAAGAUAUUAGGUUAUAAAACGAACUGCUAUUUCUGCUUUUGUAAUCAAACUUGCUGACUCUGCUCAAUGACUAAGACAACUGCAGGGCAGAUAUGUUAAAAUCAGGGUCUGACUUUGUGGUUUUUGACUUUAUAAGCCUUGGGCUGAUACGCCGAGGGGCUGCAGAACAUUCCCACUUGAGCCACGUCUCCAGCCCCCCAGUGAGGAUUCUAGGAGGUUCAGCAGUGGUGCUAGGGUAAAGUACCAGAUGAGAAGGGGCACCAUCUUACUCCCCAGGACGGAACCGUAGGACGGAGCCCAGCUUGAGACAGGCAAGAGGGCCACAGAUCUGAAGGUCCACAGAAAAUGGCUUUUCUCAAGGAUCUAGAAGUCAUCUUGGGGAGAGCUCCGCACAGUAAUUUGGGCUGGUUUAAUUUAAAUUUAGAAUCACCAUAUGUACUGGGUGGUUUUGUAUGUAAACUUGACACAAGCUAGAGUCAUCAGAGAGGAAGGAGCCUAAGCUGGGGAAAUGCCUCCAUGAGAUCCAACUGUAAGGCGUUUUCUCAAUUAGCGAUCAACCGUGGUGGGUGGUGCCAUUCCUGGGCUUCUGGUCCUGAAGGGGCUGAACAAGCCGUGGGAAUCCAGCCAGUAAACAGCUCCCCUCCGUGGCCUCUGCAUCAGCCUUCAGGUUCCUGCCCUGACUUCCUUCAGUGAUGGACAGCAAUGCUGACACUACCUGACAAGAAGCAACUAAAGAAGAAAGGGUUUAUUUGACUCACAGUUUGAAGAGACACUGUCCAUCAUGGCGGGGAAGGCACGGGUGGCAUCAGGAGGUGGAGAUAGUUGGUCAUACUGUCUGUGUCCGG